UGAGGAAUUUUGCGCAAUGGGCGAAAGCCUGACGCAGCGACGCCGCGUGGGUGAUGAAGGUCUUCGGAUCGUAAAACCCUGUCGAGCGGGACGAAAUGUAUAAAAGAUAAUACCUUUUAUGCUUGACUGUACCGCUGGAGGAAGCUCCGGCUAACUACGUGCCAGCAGCCGCGGUAAUACGUAGGGAGCAAGCGUUGUUCGGAAUUAUUGGGCGUAAAGGGCGUGUAGGCGGUUAUGUAAGUCGAGUGUGAAAUCCCAUAGCUUAACUGUGGAACUGCGUUUGAUACUGCAUAACUUGAGUUCGGGAGAGGGAAGUGGAAUUCCUGGUGUAGCGGUGAAAUGCGUAGAGAUCAGGAGGAACACCGGUGGCGAAGGCGGCUUCCUGGACCGAUACUGACGCUGAGGCGCGAAAGCUAGGGGAGCAAACAGGAUUAGAUACCCUGGUAGUCCUAGCUGUAAACGAUGGGCACUUGGUGUUGCGGGUAUCGACCCCCGCAGUGCCGAAGCUAACGCAUUAAGUGCCCCGCCUGGGGAGUACGGUCGCAAGGCUG
rnacentral:rRNA from 1 species